GGGGUUGUGGCUCAAUGGCAGAGCACUUGCCUACCAAGCGUGAGGCACUGGGUUUGAUCCUCAGCACCUCA
rnacentral:tRNA from 1 species